GAGAGACAAAACAAUCACAAACACAAUAUUUUAUAGUGGUUCGGAGCUAACCCUUGCUCCUACGUCCACUCCCCAAGUCUCACUUGGGAAUUCACUAUAACCCCUUGGAUUACAGCCGGUUGUUUUACAAGCUCACAACCAAACUUGUUGUUUUACGAGCUCACAACGAACUCGGUCGGUUUUCCCUGGCUCACCGACUAGAA
rnacentral:lncRNA from 1 species